CUUUGGUGGGGUUAUACAGAUGUUUGAUAUUUAUUCGAUAUUUAUAAUGCUAGAUCUCAUACUAGCUUUGUGUGUUCUUAGUGGUGCUACUAUUGUAUCCUAGGGAUUGAGCAAACAAACACUCUUAGCGACGUCUACCAACCACAUAUAUAAAGUUGCGUGUGAAUGUGCUUGUUAUGGUGGUUGACCUAUUACAUGCAAAAGUUAUGUGGUUUUGACACCAUAAAUACUCCCAUAGUUAUGUAUGAAGAUAAUGCAUCAUGCAUUGCAUAAAUUGGAAACAUGGUAUGUUAAGGGGUAACAUGACUAGCAUUUUUCUUCUAAUUUCUAAUAUAUCCUUACGAACUCCAGAACGAGGGUGGAAUAAAAAUCUUGCAAGUCAAGUCCUAUGAUAAUUUGGCUAAUUUAUUUUCUAAAUCCUUGAGUGUGGUCAUAUUUCGAUGAUACGUUCAAGGUAUAUAUAUAAGCCACUCAAGAGGCCUAUAAUGUUUAGAGGGAGAGCAUCUCUCGAUGUUAGCCUUCAAGAAUUAAGAUCUAAUCAUGAAGAUAGUAAGCUAUAUAAAUAUAAAAGUUAUAGUUGUCUUGAAGACAACGGUUGUACUCUAUUUUCUAUUGCAAGUUUUCUUUUCAAGUUUCUAACGUAUGUUUUUAACGAGGUAGUAAGUGCAAUACAUGUAUCCCGUCAUAAUGAAUUUGUGUCCCGUCAUAAUGAAUAACAAGAGAAACGUUCCUGAAUCGUUGUUUCUCCUUCCUCUCUUUGUGCUUGCGUCACAACGGAAAGAAAAAAAAAUGAAAAACAGUUCUUCUGCAUCUUUCUUACGUCUGCAUUAUUGACAGAAAAGGUUUAGUACGUGGAUUUAAGAUCCAUGACGGUGCCACUACUCAACAAAAAAAAAUAAAGGAAAAAAAAGAAGAGGAUGGACUGAAAUGGGCCGAAUGAACGUGGACCGGACUUGGGGAGGCAAUCGAGGUCUUGAAAUCGGUUGGAACCUAUGCUUGCCGGACUGGGCUCAGAUUAUUAUUAUUUCGAUGCCUCCGUGAAAAACGAAAGAAGCCGAUCAUCGGCUCAUCGCCGCGUCCAACCAGGUGGGUGGUGGUAGACGAAGGAACGCCGUGCGGCGGAGUACGCCGCCGGCACACACACACAUCUGACGUGCUCUCGUCCCGACUCCCGCGGAUCUGUUGCAGGCACCUGACCUCCACGGUGAUCGGCACCACGCGUGCGGGGGUCCUGGUCUCCUGGACACCCCAGCGCGACGGUGCGAGCGAGGUGACACGGGAACGGGCGGAGGAUCUGAUCUCACGUCAGCUGACGCUACGGCGGUAUGUGUUGAGAAACCCUAAUGAAGGGUUAUGUGGGUAAAUACCGGCUUUGCCCCUGAGGGGUCUCACAUCUCUAUAUAAGGAGUCUGUACACCUCUUUAUAUUACAGAGAUCAAAAAGAGGCCAGAGGUCCAACCCUAUAUCCAGUGUCUCGUGUGUUUCUUCUGUCGUGCUUAUGGGAAGAGAGACGGAUCAUCUACAGCUUCUUGCGCCUCUACUGCUGACGGGAGGGAAGAGAGCGGAUCUGGUGAUCCGUGGUAACGUAGUUCUCAACACGUUAUCAGCACGCUCUACCUCGACGUUGCCGCGAGAUCAAAUCUGCAUCAAGUCUCCGUCAAGCCGGCAAGUCUCUGGCCUAGCCGAACUGUCCUACGCGACAGACUUUGAUUCUCUCUCUACGUAAUGGAGUGGUAUGUCUGUAUGUCUUUCUAAGUCGAUUGGAUCUACUGUUCUCGAAGAACAGGCGGCGCGACGGCCUUCACAGUGGCCUCCGCUGCUUAUUGUGUGGAACACCAGAGCCGACCACGCAUGUGAGUCGUCGAUGUCUCGUCGUGCUCACACCGGCCUCCAGCCUGCAGCUGCAGCAGGGCUAGAUCAGAGUCUACGUCGGAGAAAUCAAAGGGUUCUGGUAGCUGCUAAAGUGGAACCGCGUGAUAUACUGGAUGGCAGCUAUGGGCUGUGAACCAGUCAUGAAGAUAAGGACGUGCGCGAAAGAGAGUGAAAACUGGAUCUCUCUCUCCCCUCGCUCCCCGUGCGGCACUGCAUGCCACGGAUAAGCAGCUACUUCAUCCAACCGACGUAAGAAAAGAUCCGGUCAAAGUGCAUGAGGUGCAUACAUGCAAUGGCCAUUUUGCAUGUGCGGUCAACAAAAAAAAGCCACGGUCGUGGGAUUCAUAGCCUGCUUAUGCGCCUCCUUAGCAUUUUUUAUUUAAUUCUACUUAGUUGCUAAUCUCAUUUUUUUAUAU
rnacentral:lncRNA from 1 species